AUGGACGACAACCAGUCCCUUGAACUUUUCAGUUGGCAUGCUUUUCGACAACCAAGCCCUAGAGAAGAUUUUAAUGAACUCUCUAGAAAUGUAGUUGCUUAUUGUGGAGAAUUGCCAUUGGCUCUUGAAGUCCUUGGAUCUUACUUAUCGGAGAGGACGCAAAAAGAAUGGAGAAGUGCAUUAUCAAAAUUAGAGAAAAUGCAUGAUUUUAGUGAUACUUAA